GAUGAACGCUGGCGGCGUGCCUAAUACAUGCAAGUCGAGCGAACGGACGAGAAGCUUGCUUCUCUGAUGUUAGCGGCGGACGGGUGAGUAACACGUGGAUAACCUACCUAUAAGACUGGGAUAACUUCGGGAAACCGGAGCUAAUACCGGAUAAUAUUUUGAACCGCAUGGUUCAAAAGUGAAAGACGGUCUUGCUGUCACUUAUAGAUGGAUCCGCGCUGCAUUAGCUAGUUGGUAAGGUAACGGCUUACCAAGGCAACGUUGCAUAGCCGACCUGAGAGGGUGAUCGGCCACACUGGAACUGAGACACGGUCCAGACUCCUACGGGAGGCGGCAGUAGGGAAUCUUCCGCAAUGGGCGAAAGCCUGACGGAGCAACGCCGCGUGAGUGAUGAAGGUCUUCGGAUCGUAAAACUCUGUUAUUAGGGAAGAACAUAUGUGUAAGUAACUGUGCACAUCUUGACGGUACCUAAUCAGAAAGCCACGGCUAACUACGUG
rnacentral:rRNA from 1 species